rnacentral:rRNA from 1 species
CCCUUAGAUGUUCUGGGCCGCACGCGCGCUACACUGAAGGGAUCAGCGUGUUUUCCCUUCCCGAGAGGGACGGGUAACCCGCUGAACCCCCUUCGUGGUAGGGAUCGGAGCUUGCAAUUGUUCUCCGUGAACCAGGAAUUCCCAGUAAGCGCAAGUCAUAAGCUUGCGUUGAUUACGUCCCUGCCCUUUGUACACACCGCCCGUCGCUCCUACCGAUUGAGUGGUCCGGUGAGGCUUUGGGAUCUGAGCGGAAAGAGCGUUUCGCUGUUUCUGCUCGGAAAACUCAGUCGAACCUUAUCAUUUAGAGGAAGGAGAAGUCGUAACA